rnacentral:tRNA from 1 species
GCCGAAGUGAUGAAAUUGGUAAACAUGCACGACUCAAAAUCGUGUGCCUUCGGGCCUGUGGGUUCAAGUCCCACCUUCGGCA